CAAGGAAUUUUGGGCAAUGGGCGAAAGCCUGACCCAGCGACACCGCGUGAGGGAAUAAGGCCUUCGGGUUGUAAACCUCUUUUCCUGGGGAAGAAUCUCGACGGUACCCAGGGAAUAAGCCUCGGCCAACUACGUGCCAGCAGCCGCGGUAAUACGUAGGAGGCGAACGUUAUUCGGAUUUACUGGGCGUAAAGGGAGCGUAGGCGGUUCCUUAAGUCGGAUGUGAAAUCUUCUGGCUCAAUCGGAAGGCGCCAUUUGAUACUGAGGGACUUGAGAGCAGCAGAGGGAAAUGGAAUCUGCAGUGUAGCGGUGAAAUGCGUAGAUAUUGCGGAGAACACCAGUGGCGAAGGCGGUUUCCCAGGCUGUUUCUGACGCUGAGGCUCGAAAGCGUGGGGAGCGAAGCGGAUUAGAUACCCGCGUAGUCCACGCCCUAAACGGUGGACACUAGAUAUAGGAGGUAUCGACCCUUUCUGUGUCGAAGCUAACGCUUUAAGUGUCCCGCCUGGGGAGUACGGCCGCAAGGCUG
rnacentral:rRNA from 1 species